GUGCCAGCAGCCGCGGUAAUACAGAGGGUGCGAGCGUUAAUCGGAAUUACUGGGCGUAAAGGGUGCGUAGGCGGUUGUUUAAGUUAGAUGUGAAAUCCCCGGGCUUAACCUGGGAAUUGCAUUUAAGACUGGAUGACUAGAGUAGAGUAGAGGGAAGUGGAAUUUCCGGUGUAGCGGUGAAAUGCGUAGAUAUCGGAAAGAACAUCAGUGGCGAAGGCGGCUUCCUGGACUCAUACUGACGCUGAGGCACGAAAGCAUGGGGAGCAAACAGGAUUAGAUACCCCAGUAGUCC
rnacentral:rRNA from 1 species